CCCCAGGUCAGGCNUGGCUACCCGCUGAGUUUAAGCAUAUCAAUAAGC
rnacentral:rRNA from 1 species